GCGAACGCUGGCGGCAGGCCUAACACAUGCAAGUCGAGCGGCCGUAGCAAUACGGCAGCGGCAGACAGGAGAGUAACACGUGGGAACGUGCCUUUCGGUUCGGAACAACCCAGGGAAACUUGGGCUAAUACCGGAUACGCCCUUACGGGGAAAGAUUUAUCGCCGAAAGAUCGGCCCGCGUCUGAUUAGCUAGUUGGUGGGGUAACGGCCCACCAAGGCGACGAUCAGUAGCUGGUCUGAGAGGAUGAUCAGCCUCACUGGGACUGAGACACGGCCCAGACUCCUACGGGAGGCAGCAGUGGGGAAUAUUGGACAAUGGGCGCAAGCCUGAUCCAGCCAUGCCGCGUGGAUGAUGAAGGCCCUAGGGUUGUAAAGUCCUUUCAGCGGGGAAGAUAAUGACGGUACCCGCAGAAGAAGCCCCGGCUAACUUCGUGCCAGCAGCCGCGGUAAUACGAAGGGGGCUAGCGUUGCUCGGAAUCACUGGGCGUAAAGCGCACGUAGGCGGCUUUCUAAGUCAGGGAUGAAAUCCUAGAGCUCAACUCCAGAACUGCCUUUGAUACUGGAGAGCUCGAGUCCGGAAGAGGUGAGUGGAACUGCGAGUGUAGAGGUGAAAUUCGUAGAUAUUCGCAAGAACACCAGUGGCGAAGGCGGCUCACUGGUCCGGUACUGACGCUGAGGUGCGAAAGCGUGGCGAGCAAACAGGAUUAGAUACCCUGGUAGUCCACGCCGUAAACGAUGGAUGCUAGCCGUUGGCAGGCUUGCCUGUCAGUGGCGCAGCUAACGCUUUAAGCAUCCCGCCUGGGGAGUACGGUCGCAAGAUUAAAACUCAAAGAAAUUGACGGGGGCCCGCACAAGCGGUGGAGCAUGUGGUUCAAUUCGAAGCAACGCGAAGAACCUUACCAGCCCUUGACAUCCCGGUCGCGGGAACGAGAGAUCGAUCCCUUCAGUUCGGCUGGACCGGAGACAGGUGCUGCAUGGCUGUCGUCAGCUCGUGUCGUGAGAUGUUGGGUUAGGUCCAUCAACGAGCGCAACCCUCGUAGCCAGUUGCAUUUUCUGGCUAGACUGCCUCGGUAACGGGGAGGAAGGAGAGGAUGACGCCUGGUCCGUAUUGCCCUUAUAUCCUGGGCGACACACACGCUACAAUGGCCGGUACAAUGGGCUGCGAAGCUGCGAAGCGGAGCUAAUCCCAUCAAAACCGGUCUCAGUUCGGAUUGUAGGCUGAAACUCGCCUGCAUGAAGUCGGAAUCGCUAGUAACCGUAGGUCAGAAUACUACGGUGAAUACGUUCCCGGGUCUUGUACACACCGCCCGUCAUACCACGAAAGUCGGUAGCACCCGAAAUGGUCACUUGUUGACCCCUAAGGUGAGAUCGAUGAUUGGGGUAAAGUCGUAACAA
rnacentral:rRNA from 1 species